rnacentral:tRNA from 2 species
GGAUCUUUAGCUCAGUUGGUUAGAGCAACCGGCUCAUAACCGGUCGGUCGUAGGUUCGAGUCCUACAAGAUCCACCA